rnacentral:rRNA from 1 species
UACGUAGGGUGCGAGCGUUAAUCGGAAUUACUGGGCGUAAAGAGUGCGUAGGCGGUUCUUGAAGUCCGCUGUGAAAGCCCCGGGCUUAACCUGGGAAUGGCAGUGGAAACUGGAGGACUUGAAUUGAGCAGAGGGGGGUGGAAUGCCGCGUGUAGCAGUGAAAUGCGUAGAGAUGCGGCGGAACACCGAUGGCGAAGGCAGCCCCCUGGGCUUAAAUUGACGCUGAGGCACGAAAGCGUGGGGAGCAAACAGG